UACGUAGGGUGCAGGCGUUGUCCGGAAUUAUUGGGCGUAAAGAGCUCGUAGGCGGUUUGUUGCGUCGGCUGUGAAAUCCCGAGGCUCAACCUCGGGUCUGCAGUCGAUACGAGCAAACUAGAGUGUUGCAGGGGAGACUGGAAUUCCUGGUGUAGCGGUGAAAUGCGCAGAUAUCAGGAGGAACACCGGUGGCGAAGGCGGGUCUCUGGGCAACAACUGACGCUGAGGAGCGAAAGCAUGGGGAGCGAACAGG
rnacentral:rRNA from 1 species